UACGGGGGGGGCAAGCGUUGUUCGGAAUUACUGGGCGUAAAGGGCUCGUAGGCGGCCAACUAAGUCAUACGUGAAAUCCCUCAGCUUAACUGGGGAACUGCGUGUGAUACUGGAUGGCUUGGAUUUGGGAGAGGGAUGCGGAAUUCCAGGUGUAGCGGUGAAAUGCGUAGAUAUCUGGAGGAACACCGGUGGCGAAGGCGGCAUCCUGGACCGGUAUUGACGCUGAGGCGCGAAAGCUAGGGGAGCAAACGGG
rnacentral:rRNA from 1 species